CUUCCUCGAUCUGCUGCGGGCUGAUGAAGUGAAUGUGCGUAUCGAUGCCGCCCGCGGUCACGAUCAGCCCUUCGCCCGCGAUCACCUCGGUCGACGCGCCGAUCGCGAUCGUCACGUUCGGCUGGAUGUCGGGAUUGCCGGCCUUGCCGAUCGCCGCGAUGCGGCCGUCCUUGAUGCCGAUGUCGGCCUUCACGAUGCCCCAGUGAUCGAGGAUCACCGCGUUCGUGACGACGGUAUCGACGACGUCCGCAUGCACGCGCUGCGACUGGCCCAUGCCGUCGCGAAU
rfam:Burkholderia sp. SRS-W-2-2016 contig13613, whole genome shotgun sequence.